GACUCCAUGGAAGACUGAUCUCCUCCCUAGGGCCGGAUGCAGCCCUAACAAAGGAACACAGGUCCAGCCGAAUUGAUUUAGGAUGAUCUCUGAACCCAAAUCGCAUGCACCCCACAAAUCAAGACCCUCUGAUUCAGUCACCUAAUUUUCUUCCCACUCGUUCCAACUCUUUUUCCACAUGAUCCAAUUUUAAUCUCAAAAACAAUAAAAUCCCUUCAAUUAUUUGUUUCUCAGAUCUCAAAGCAUACCAUCUUAGUUGCACGGAUCCCAAAGCCUCAUCCCAUCUCAGCCAUUCAUCUUGCAUCACCCAACUCCACGCCUCUCAAACCCAUUAUUUUUCCCAUGUCCAAAGAACAGGUUCAUCUUCUUCCGACUUCUUCUCAGCGCACGAAUCCAAGCCUUAUCCAAAGAUCCCCUACUCCCCAGCUCCCUCGGCUUCAUCCUCCCGUGACCCACGAACAAAAUCAUCCACUCCUCCUAGCCAAAACCGAACCUCCACGUCCAAGGAACAGAGCCGUUGGAAAGCUCAAUCCCAUGCAUCCGAGAUCUCCCCUCAGCAAAACAAAUCUUAGGAGCUCAUCUUCAUCACCUACCGAACUCAGGAUCAUUCUCCCAACGUCCAAAUGCAUCUUCUCCUGUUUCGGAACUAAUCCCAGCACUCCUUCCCCCCGAGCAUCACGGAAGAGCUCUCUCUCCCCUGCAUCGUGGAUCUUAUCUUCAUCUUCCGAAUCAAGCUCAUCCCAAGUUCACGAGCUCAUCCUCCCAAGGAAUAGAGCUGUCAUCCCAUCCGAAUCAUCCCACGAUUUGGCUUCAUCCCGUUCGAAUCAAACACUCAAUCCAAACUUCCUCGUCCACGGAUCAUUCUCCCACGUCCACGAGCCAAGCCAACUUCUUCAAACGCCUUUCCAGAUCAUUUUCCAGCAUCCUACGAUCAGUCGUGAGCCUCAUCCACAUCAUCCCCUAUUUCUCUGUGUUCAUUCCGAACCAACCCAUCCUCUUCCGUCGGAUUGACCCCAGCAAACUUCUUGAGCAACGAUUCCAUCAUCCACGGGUUCUCUCAUCUCCCCUUCAUUCCGUUCAGCAUCCCAAAAUAGAGAUCAUCUUCCCUCCUGUCCGCGAUUCAUGGAAGACUUCCAGCUUCUUCCAAAUCUCCUGCAUUUUUCCUGUUUCAGAAUCCAACCUUCACCUCCCACCAAAUCCAGCAUCUUCAACGUCCCAGUUAUCUUCCGUUCCCAGCAUCUUCAUCUCCUCUUCAUCACGAUCUCCCAGCGUUCUGGAUCAA